ACCUUCAUCUUCAUCAUCGCUUCGCCGACCAUAACUAGGUUUAGGGUAUUCUUCCUCAGUCUUCCUGCCAUACCCGGAUCCAUACUCAGAAACCGGCUCCUCCUGCCUACGCCCAUAUCCAGAUUCAUACUCCGGAGUUGGCUCCUCCUGCCUCCGUCCAUACCCAGAUCCGUACUCAGAAGUCGGCUCCUCCUGCUUCCUGCCAUAACCAGAUCCAUACUCAGAUGAGGGCUCUUCCUGCCUCCGACCAUAACCGGAUCCAUAUUCAGAAGUAGGUUCCUCUUGUCUCCGACCAUAACCAGAUCCAUAUUCUGGAGUAGGUUCCUCCUGUCUCCGACCGUAACCAGAUUCAUAUUCAGGAGUAGGUUCCUCCUGCCUCCGACCAUAACCAGAUCCGUAUUCAGGAGUAGGCUCCUCCUGCCUCCGCCCAUAACCAGAUCCGUACUCAGAAGUGGGCUCUUCGGGACGCCGACCAUACCCAGAUCCGUAUUCAGAAGAAGGCUCUUCAGGUUUCCGUCCAUAGCCAGAUCCAUACGCGGAAGUAGGCUCCUCAGGCCUACCAUAACCAGAUCCACCGCCGUGACCUCCACCGUAUUGAGGAGUCACAGCAGGGGUAUGGCCAGGGCGCGGCUUGCGACGAGCAUAGUUCUUGUAUUCAUUGUCAAGGGCUUCUUCGCCGUAGGCACUUGGCUCGGCGUAGGAGGAAUAGUUAGAUCUUUCAUAGUCGAAGCCGCCGGAGGAAGUUGAG
rnacentral:lncRNA from 1 species